rnacentral:rRNA from 1 species
UACAGAGGGUGCAAGCGUUAAUCGGAAUUACUGGGCGUAAAGCGUGCGUAGACGGUCAUGUAAGUCGGGUGUGAAAGCCCCGGGCUUAACCUGGGAACUGCAUCCGAUACUGGAUGGCUUGAAUCCGGGAGAGGGAUGCAGAAUUCCAGGUGUAGCGGUGAAAUGCGUAGAUAUCUGGAGGAAUACCGGUGGCGAAGGCGGCAUCCUGGACCGGCAUUGACGCUGAUGAGCGAAAGCUAGGGGAGCAAACGGG